rnacentral:tRNA from 1 species
GCAAGUUGGCCGAGUGGUCUAAGGCGCCAGAUUUAAGCUCUGUUCCUAAUGGAAGCGUGGGUUCGAACCCCACACUUGACA